rnacentral:rRNA from 1 species
UACGUAGGGCGCAAGCGUUAUCCGGAAUUACUGGGCGUAAAGGGCUCGUAGGUGGCCAACUAAGUCAGACGUGAAAUCCCUCGGCUUAACCGGGGAACUGCGUCUGAUACUGGAUGGCUUGAGUUUGGGAGAGGGACGCGGAAUUCCAGGUGUAGCGGUGAAAUGCGUAGAUAUCUGGAGGAACACCGGUGGCGAAGGCGGCGUCCUGGACCAACACUGACACUGAUGAGCGAAAGCCAGGGGAGCAAACGGG